UGAUGUACUCUCACAUUUUAGAAGUAAUAUGUUUGAUGGUGAUGAGCUGCACACUUGUCAGAUCCAGUGUGAACCAUUUCUCUGUUCUGAUGAUACGUGCUUAUUUCCACAGCCCACAGAUGAUCUCUGUGACAUGCUUUGGAAAAUUCCUGGAGCUUCUGCACGUAUCUGGAGUUCUGCCAAACUGCUAUAGAAAUACAGCUGGAUCUGGUCCCAAGCACUUCUAGCCCAGGUUAGGAAUUUUCUGUUUGGAACCACUAGUAAAAAUAUUGAAAGAGCUUUUGUGAAGAGGAUUUGUGAAGAGGAUUUGUGAAGAGUUGGUGUUCAUGCAGAAGAAAUACAGAGCAAGAGAGAGGAACUCACUCUGCUGCUGGGUCUCCUUCUGCCCUGGAACUGCCACUGCUAGGUGAACAAAUACAUGAAUUCAGAAGAAGCCCAAAAGGGAACACACCAGUAUGGGACAGUAUUUUGUACUCCUGCAAUGCUGAUAUUUCCAGACUCCCAGUGAUUUCACAUCACCAGGAGUGUUGCUCUCUAGGAACAUUCCCUCAUUCUGGUGUCCAUGAACGGUUCCUUCUCACUGCAGUAUCCUCGUUUUUAUUAAUGCUCUGAUUAGUGCUGACAUCCUUCUUAAUCAUUUCCCCCCCUCCCAGUUUGUCUCUGCUCAGUCCUUUUUAACCUUUCUCUUCAGACCAAUCCUUCCCAGUGCUAUGAAUAAAUAAAAGCCUUCUGUUCUCAUCAACAAAAUGGUCUUUUAACAGUUGCAAGAACAACACAGCAAUCACUUGCAAAAAAAAAACACAACUAAUAUUUGAAGCAUUUAAAAGCCUACAGCUAUUUUCUGCUUUUUAAAUAUACACACUUAAAUAGAGAAAGCAACAAAGAAAUUAAUGGGGAGCACAAGCAGCAGUAGGUAUCUGAGAGGGACUCUUAGCCCAUCUGCAGUGCUCACCAGCAUUGCAAAGCACUGUCCUCAAGCAAAUCUAAAGGCUAAAAUCUGCUGCCUGGUUAGGGCUAAGUAAUUCACUUUCCUCAUUUGCAUACCAGAAGACCAUUACUCAUUACCCAUAAGAAGCACCAGCAAUUCUGAGUGAAAAAGAUGUUCUGUGCCAUCACUGUUAGAAGUGUAAGAUCUAAGUGAAUGUAUUUUUGUGGACCUUGGAUCUUGGAAUGCUUUUGUAACCAUGAUUAGCUGACAUGUACUUUUGAAGGUGAAACUGUCGUUCUGGUUUCAAGCCAUGUAAUGCAACCAUACAAAUAAGAUGCCAGCAAAUGAGAUGUUUCAAGAAGUGAGACGAGGAUAGCAGGAACAUCAUGUGCUUUACCAACAGAAAAUGCUUGGAUAGGGGAAACAAAGCCACAUUCUCUAUCCUUUAUUCUCAUCUUCCUUGGCUUUCUGCUUCACCCUAAAGAUAACAUAACAAAAGGAGCUGCAAUCUGUCUGCAGGUCCGUGAAGAAUUACCAUAUCGCUCCAGUUUGUUGACUCUCCCAUGGGUAUUCCUUCUAAGAGGGCUUCCCUAAAUUGAUUGCCAAUAACCUAAUGUAUUCGUCUGUCUCUCGGUCAUCAGAAUGUUGACAUAAUAAACAGUAAUAUAGGAAGGAAACCAAAAUGUGAAAUUUCAUUUCAACGAAGCUGAACCUGGCAGAAAUACAUAGCAGGGUCCUCUCAGCAACCUUAACUCAUGAAGCUGCACUCCAGGUACAUUCAGAAACCAUGGAAAACCAUUACCUGCCUAUUAAAACACAAGAGACCACAGAAUGAAAUGCUGCAUUACAAAGAAAUAGCAUUUUUCUCUGCCAUGAGGCUGAUAUUAAACAAAGCAAUUUAACAGCAUUAGGUGUAAAGGAAACCUAAGAGGUCUUCUGGAAAUAAGUUUUCACCACUAUUGAGGAAAGUUUCUAAUAAGUAGCUAUGAGAUACAGCUGUCUUGAGGUUAGUGUGAAAUAUCUGAAAGAGCAAAUGCAUUAAUAACAUACUCUGAGACACUGAGAAAGCCAACCUGGUGCCACUUCUCUGGUGCCAAUAGGAAGACACAAAUUCAGAUGAGCACUGUUACCCUGUGAUAUGCCAGCCGUUUUGCUGUAGCCUUGCAUAACAAGAACCAGUGGUGCAGAGCAGCCUUCAGCGAGAUUUACAGCCCAUGCAUAAGCUUUUACAGAAUCAGCAGUAUAAAUGGAAAUUAUUUUUCCUUCUUUUGACUGAAGGACAGACACUGUAUAAAUCAGUCAAGUCACACACAUUACAGCCAUAGCAACUUCCCAACUCAUUUGGGAAAUCAUGCUAGCCCUGCAGAGGAACUGCAUGAAUAAUAUCAUGCCUGUAUUGGGAAAUGUAUCCAUGAGUAUUUAUCAUGCCUGUAUUGGGAAAUGUAUCCAUGAGUAUUCUAUAACAAGAAUAAACAUCCAGAUCAAAAAAUCUACACCAAGCCCUUAAGAGUUACCAUAAAAAAUUACAAAGGGAAAGCAAUUAUUUUGCUAAUGCAAUUGAAUAACUAAUAUUACCCAAAGAUAUCUGAAGGAUGGGACACAAUGAGGAAACACACCAGUGAGGUGACUUGGUAAGGGGAAAACAGUGGAGAAAAGUUAUAAUCCUCCAUUUGCUCUGGGUAGAUUUGGCAGUGAAGGUGUGUGUCAUAGAAUCGUAGUGGAAGGGACCCUUAAAGGUUACCCAGUUCACCCCCACUGCACUGAACAGGGGCACCUACAGCUCCAUCAGAGCCCAGUCCCUGUCCUACAGCGCAGGCUGUAACUGUAUUACUCCAGACAAGGUCUGUCCUCACCACUCACCUCUUUAGGUGGAAAAAUUAUUUUACAGAGCCCAAAAUACAUUAAUUGUCUCUGUAGCUUAGUGAGUCCAGUCUCAUUUAAAUGAGUUCUUUGUGUAGUACAACUGUGUUUUCAGUGUUCUGCUUUCAGGUUCCUCUUUGCCCUCUUCCUCUUGUGAUGAUGAAAACCAAACUGAGUUGACAAUGAAUACUGUAAGUCUGACAGAGAGAAUGAAGCUCUUAAGCAGCCCAAGCAACCAGAAGUGUGUUAAGUGAACUGAUCAAUUCAGCAAUUCUGUCCAUGGGAAGAAAAACACAACAUACCUACGCUUCUCUAGUAAAAAAAAAGUCAAGGAAAAGAGAGCAAAUAACUGUCUCUUUAUGCAGCACAAUAAACACCUGACAGGAUCCUUCACCCCAAAGCCCCUUCCCACCAACAGAAGAGUCAUUCUCUGUACCAAAUCCAUGCAAUAAAUACAGUGCUCUAUCACUUUUUCUAGACUCAUUGCUUCAAAUAUUGCUAUUUCAACUCCUCAAAACCGUUACUGAGUGUUAAGGGAAUAAGGAAUGAAGGCCCACUAAGCAUGCACAGUGAGCAGCCACAGUCCUGGGGUGCUGGGCCCUGGCCAGCCAUCUGAACAAAUUGCUUGUGUCUUGUUCAGUCACCUUUGCAUACAUUGUUGUCUACUAAGAGCAGCUUCAGGGUGAACAGCACAUAGUCCAUGCCUCUGCCUUUCUCAUGAACUUUGUGCCAUAUAGAUACCAAAAGAGGAUUGGAGAUCUUUUCUGCUGGGAUGGCUGCACACUCCCACUAGCCUAUGUUCGAAUCAGAAGGAAGUAUAUUGACGUGAAUGAGACCACACUUACAACAUUUGUGCCCAUUUAAGGAGAAACAGACUCCUGUGGUCAGCAGAGAUAAUUUUGCACAGGUCAACUGUCUUUGUGAAGUCAGCUCUGCAUGGCAUAUGAUCUGCUGUCUGUGAAACCACAGACAGUAGUUUAUAUAUUCAGGACUGGAUACUCUUUUGUCAGGGAGAAUUCUGUGCACCAAGUGCAGUGCUGUGAGUGAAAAGGAGUCAUGAAAGCAAAACCAAGGUGAAGCUCUUUCAGGAUCUUCAUGCUCAAGUUCAGCAGUCUUGUCUCUGAGAAGAGCUAGGGAGAACCUUUCAUUGUAGUCCUACGCUUUGUACGCUUUCCAAUGUCCUUGGAGGAUCUGCCAGAAGGAGAUCAGAUUUGCCCUGAAAUCCAUCCCAUUUCUCCUUUCAGCUCAGAACUGACCUUGCUUUUUUUUCACUGCCAUCAUUAACCACAUUGAUUCCCUGCAUCAAGGAUGCAGCUAUCUAGUUGUACUGCUGCGUGAAAAUUAUGAUAUCAUUUUAGACCCUCCACUGUGAUUUUUAGGACAACAAGAACCAUGAAUCCAGCAAAAGUGGCUCCCAGUCCCACUACCACAGUGGAUGAUCCCUCCUCACCCCCAAGAGAUAGGUGAAAGAGAAAUAGUCCUUAACAGAGAAGUGAAACCAGCAUCAGCAGUAACAUUAAUGGGGUGCAGCUUUGAUUGUCACACAGCCAUCAAAUGAAAAGAUGAUCCAGAGACCCCUCACCCACUGCCCUGCCCCUGGCAAGAACUGAUCCUCCCUACCCCUGACAUGUAAACUGAGUACAGGAGGUGAAAGCCUUGCCCACGGCAACACAGCAUGCCACUGGCGUGGGAUGGACACACAGUGUGAGGCCAAACCCAACCCUACAGCAGUCACUGGGAACUCAACAGCAGAGCCAAAAUCAUGGAAUCAUAGAAUCGUUAAGGUCUAGCAAUCUGCUUUUGCCAUCACUUUGUUAGCAUGGAUUCAGAAUCUCUGUCUUCAAGUGAUUUCCUACCAGACAGAAAAGAAGAUGGAUCCUGUCUGGAGAGCAAGUGAAUGUCACAUAGAAGAGGAGUCUCAUUCCAAUAGAAGUACUCAUGAGGUAUUAUUACUCAAUGUCUUAAUGAUGUCAGAAACUUUGAUCUGAUAUUGCUACCUUCCUCCCUGUUGGAUAAUAAACCAUACUGGUAGAGAAUGCCAUAGUACUGGUACUGGUGGAGUAGGAACAGUGAUGCAUAAGGGUGUAAUUAAGUUAAGGGUAUAAUUGAGGGGUGUAACAAGGCAAGGGAUCUUAAGGAUUCUCAUGGGCAGGAUGCAAUAGUCUUUACUUAGAUAAAGUUUAAGCUAUGGAGUAUCAGCCAUUUGCAGUCAAAAUUGUGUCACAUCUCUUGGACAAGCUACAAUGGAAGGUUGUUAAACACUGAUGGCUUCCAUUCAAGUGGAAGCACAUUUGGACAAUGGGAUGCCUGGACCUAUGGAAGGCAGCUCAGCCAAAUGUGUCUGCAGGGACAGCUCUUAGAACAAUGUAAUUUCCCUAGAAGAACAAAGAGAUCAGAUGUUCGCGCUAGCUCUGAACAAAGCUUCAGGGGAACAAAGCACAAAGCUUCAGGGGAACUCACAAGGAAACCCAGGCCAACUCCUCUGCAACAUGGAUCUAGAAAACACAUUGCCUUCUAGCCAAUACAACUGUGCCAGCCAAAUCUUGUAGAUGUAUUCAUAGCGAUCUAAAAGAGAUGCCUCAGUGUAUGGUAACUGCUGAGUCACAGCCUAAACCACUGAUUGAGCAUCUGGGGAAAGGACCCAGUCAGCCCUGGGAGCACAAGUGAAGGCAAUUCAGCUGUGCGACUUGAAGGGUGGAGCCUGGCUGCUCCUCUCUUAGACCUCAUUUAAGGACUGACUGCCACUGGAGGGUUUCUUCCUGGAGAUCCUUCCUUGGUGAAGUUUUCUCUUGUGAACUGAGACUCUUCUGAUACAGGAGAUUUGCAUUCCUGUGAGGACUGAAGAAAUCCUUUCCUACUGAAUAGAAGCUGUUGGGAAUACCUACAGCAAGAAAUGAAGCUUUCAUGUCUGUCAAAAAGUCCCUUACAGGUGUAGAGCUGAAAGAACUCCUACAAAAGCAGUGUUUGCUCAGGUCUGUUUGAGGAGAUAAAAGAGAAGCACCUACUCCGAACAGCAAUGUCUGCUGGUUGGCCCCAGAGUCCACCCAUUGUUUGCUCUCCAACCCCAGGCAAGCAGCACUUUUUUUCCUUUGGCAGAUAUCCCAUUAUUUUCUCCCUGGGGGCUGGAUUGAGGAUGGAAAUCUUGAGGCUGGUGCAAAGGAUACAGAAAACAUCUGUGCCAAAAACUUUCCUCCUCCUGAAAGUCAGUGAAGAGAAGUAACUACAAAGCUCUCUGUGGACCAGGUCCAUGGAUCGUAGGACCACAGAUCUUAAGCCAAGACCCAUGUCCUAGAACCUACUGAGUGCCAUGGAGCUGCGUGGGGUGGCUCACAGCCCUGCUCUCUGGGAACAGGGUGGCAAUGUACGUUGCUUAGGUGCAGGCCACCUCCUGACCACGUCACUGCAUGGAUCAUUGGUUGGCAGGCACCAAACCCAGGGCAGGAAAGCUGGGUGUGUAUCCACCUCUCUGAGAUGGUUUGGAUACAACCUAUUGGGUGGUGUGGGAAGGUGCUACUCCUGACUACUCAAACUCCCGCUUGAACAACUUUUCUUGCAUUUGCCUAUCGGCUAUAAAAAGAAAAUACAAUUAAAAAAUUAACAUAGCUUUUCCCAUUGGCUUGCACAAAAACAACCAACCAACCAAUAUCCAGAUUUUGUAAAGUAGCUGCCUAUACAACUAGGGUAACACAAGUAUGUGUCAAGCCAGAAUCUGACAGCAGAUACUGGCAGCAAGAUGAACAGCCAUAAAUAACUAUGGGAGAAACACAGAUAGCUUUCUAUAGCAGAUCAUAAUCAGCACAUAAUCAGCACGGAAAGCCAUUACACUCAGGGGACUAUUUAAAUUAUGAAAAAGACAUUAUUUAAACGUCUCUAUCUGACACCUUGCCUGUUUAUCACCAAGUUCAGUUUUGAACUCACAGAGAGGUCCCAGUGAGAGCUUCCUAAAUCAUUUACUGACCAUAAAUAAAUUUUUAAAAAAGCAGUUAAAAAGCAACACAGUUGAACCAGCUCCUGC